GAUGAACGCUGGCGGCGUGCCUAAUACAUGCAAGUCGAACGAACUUUCUAGGAGCGUGCUUCGCUGACGUUAACGACGGACGGGGGAGUAAGACGUGGUAAACCUACCUUAAAGUCCGGGAUAACUUCGGGAAACCCGUGCUAAUACCGGCUAAUAUAGUGUACCUCCAUUUUCCAUAGUGUAAGUCGGUUUUGCUGUCACUUGAGUCUGUAUCCGCGCCGCCUUAGCUAGUUGGUAAGGUAACGGCUUACAAAGGCAACGAUGCGUAGCCGACCUGAGAGGGUGAUCGGCCACACUGGAACUGAGACACGGUCCAGACUCCUACGGGAGGCAGCAGUAGGGAAUCUUCCGAAAUGAGCGAAAGCCGGACGGAGCAACGCCGCGUGAGUGAUGAAGGUCUUCGGAUCGUAAACCUCUGUUAUUAGGGAAGAACAAAUGUGUAAGUAACUAUGCACGUCUUGACGGUACCUAAUCAGAAAGCCACGGCUAACUACGUG
rnacentral:rRNA from 1 species